rnacentral:rRNA from 1 species
GAUGAACGCUAGCUACAGGCUUAACACAUGCAAGUAGGACGCAGUUGCGAACGGGUGAGUAACGCGUCGGCAACUGCCUAUUAGAGGGGGAUAACUAUUGGAAACGAUAGCUAAUACCGCAUACUAGCAGAUGGACCCGCGUUUUAUUGGCUAGUAGGUAGGGUAAUGGCCUACCUAGGCAACGAUACAUAGUCGACCGUAGAGGGUGAUCGGCCACACUGGGACUGAGACACGGCCCAGACUCCUACGGGAGGCAGCAGUAGGGAAUCUUCGGCAAUGGGGGGAACCCUGACCGAGCAACGCCGCGUGAGUGAAGAAGGUUUUCGGAUCGUAAAGCUCUGUUGUUAAGGAAGCGGUACUUAACCAGAAAGGGACGGCUAACUACGUGCCAGCAGCCGCGGUAAUAC